rnacentral:rRNA from 1 species
CCUACGGGGGGCUGCAGUGGGGAAUAUUGGACAAUGGGGGGAACCCUGAUCCAGCCAUGCCGCGUGUGUGAAGAAGGCCCUCGGGUUGUAAAGAACUUUCAGUGAGGAAGAACGCCUGGUGGUUAAUACCCAUCAGGAAAGACAUCACUCACAGAAGAAGCACCGGCUAACUCCGUGCCAGCAGCCGCGGUAAUACGGAGGGUGCGAGCGUUAAUCGGAAUUACUGGGCGUAAAGCGCGCGUAGGUGGCUUGAUAAGCCGGUUGUGAAAGCCCCGGGCUCAACCUGGGAACGGCAUCCGGAACUGUCAAGCUAGAGUGCAGGAGAGGAAGGUAGAAUUCCCGGUGUAGCGGUGAAAUGCGUAGAGAUCGGGCGGAAUACCAGUGGCGAAGGCGGCCUUCUGGACUGACACUGACACUGAGGUGCGAAAGCGUGGGUAGCAAACAGGAUUAGAUACCCCUGUAGUC